GAUGAACGCUGGCGGCGUGCCUAAUACAUGCAAGUCGAACGAGAAAGAGGAAGUCUUCGGAUGGACUCUGGAGAGUGGCGCACGGGUGAGUAACACGUAGAUGACCUGCCCCGGAGAGGGGGAUAACCGUUGGAAACGACAGCUAAUACCCCAUAAGCUCACGGUUUUCAGAAAGCUGUGAGAAAAGGUUCCGGCGCUUCGGGAGGGGUCUGCGGCCCAUCAGCUGGUUGGUAGGGUAACGGCCUACCAAGGCGAAGACGGGUAGGGGGCCUGAGAGGGUGGUCCUCCACACGGGAACUGAGACACGGUCCCGACUCCUACGGGAGGCAGCAGUAAGGAAUAUUGCCCAAUGGACGCAAGUCUGAGGCAGCAACGCCGCGUGCCCGAAGAAGGUCUUCGGAUCGUAAAGGGCUUUUCUGUGGGAAGAGAAAGGACAGUACCGCAGGAAUAAGUGUCGGCUAACUACGUG
rnacentral:rRNA from 1 species